UACAGAGGUGGCAAGCGUUGUUCGGAAUUACUGGGCGUAAAGGGCGCGUAGGCGGUCAGGUCAGUCCCGUGUGAAAUCCCUCGGCUCAACUGAGGAACUGCACGGGAAACUGCCUGGCUUGAGUUCGGGAGAGGGAAGCGGAAUUCCGGGUGUAGCGGUGAAAUGCGUAGAUAUGCGGAGGAACACCGAUGGCGAAGGCAGUCCCCUGGGCCUGUACUGACGCUCAUGCACGAAAGCGUGGGGAGCAAACAGG
rnacentral:rRNA from 1 species